rnacentral:rRNA from 1 species
UACAGAGGUCUCAAGCGUUGUUCGGAUUCAUUGGGCGUAAAGGGUGCGUAGGCGGCGCGGUAAGUCGGGUGUGAAAUCUCGGAGCUUAACUCCGAAACUGCAUUCGAUACUGCCGUGCUUGAGGACUGGAGAGGAGACUGGAAUUUACGGUGUAGCGGUGGAAUGCGCAGAUAUCAGGAGGAACACCAAUAGCGAAGGCAGCUCGCUGGGACGGUACUGACGCUGAGGUGCGAAAGCGUGGGGAGCAAACAGG